UACGGAGGGUGCGAGCGUUGUUCGGAAUUAUUGGGCGUAAAGCGCGCGUAGGCGGGACGACGAGUCCGGUGUGAAAUCCCUCGGCUCAACCGGGGAAUUGCACUGGAUACUGGCGACCUUGAGUCCUGGAGAGGGUGGCGGAAUUCCCAGUGUAGAGGUGAAAUUCGUAGAUAUUGGGAGGAACACCGGUGGCGAAGGCGGCCACCUGGACAGUGACUGACGCUGAGGCGCGAAAGCAUGGGUAGCAAAC
rnacentral:rRNA from 1 species